CGGAGGAGCAGGCAGACACCACGGGCCCUGCCAAGAGAGAGGAGCAUUCUGAGGUGUCCUCUGGGGAGCUGGGCUUCACCUCUCCUGACCCCAGGCCUAGAAUCCCCUGAUCCUUGGGGGCUGUUCAUAUGCCGGGGGGCGCUCAGGAGGCUGCUUACUGAGGCCCCUGGCAGCUCAGCCUCUAUCUGCACCUAAGAUUUUCUGUUAUCUCAAAAUAGGAGAGUCUACACACAGAAGCUCGAGAUGGUCCUGAGUGGGGCGCUGUGCUUCCGAAUGAAGGAUGCAACGCUGAAGAUGCUUUAUCUGCACAAUAACCAGCUUCAAGCCGGAGGGCUGCAAGCAGGGAAGGUCAUUAAAGGUGAGGCGAUCAGCGUUGUCCCUAAUCGGUCUCUGGAUGCCAAGCUCUCUCCAGUCAUCCUGGGCGUCCAGGGUGGGAGCCAGUGCCUGUCGUGUGGGACGGGGCAGGAACCGACCCUGAAACUAGAGCCAGUGAACAUCAUGGAGCUCUACCACAGUGCCGAGGAGUCCAAGAGAUUCACCUUCUACCGGCGGGAGACGGGGCUCACCUCUAGCUUCGAGCUGGCCGCCUUCCCGGGCUGGUUUCUCUGCACCAUGCCCGAAGCAGACCAGCCUCUCCGGGUCACUCAGCUCCCGAAGGACACCAGCUGGGAUGGCCCCAUCACCGACUUCUACUUCCAGCAGUGUGACUAGGGCAACAUGCCCCCAGGGCUCCCUGGGUGGGCCAGCUUGGGCAGGGCCAGGAGGUGUAGGAGGAGACCCGGUGAGCAACCCGCCUCUGCCCUCAGGGCCUCCACCGUGGAGGGGCUGGGCACACGGCCACUCUUCCUCCACCUCUUUCCCAGUUUGGGUAAAUCCUUCUGAGAUUUGGGGCUUAGUCCACAGUUUUCUUUUCUGCUGAAUGGCACUACUGAUGUGAAACCUUGCAGAAAGGUAAACCCCUAAGAUAAACCCCUAAGGGGUCAGGGGCAGGGGCAGGGGCAGGGGAGCGGCGGAAAUCCUUCAUGCUUCGUGGUAACGUACAGGUAACAAUCCUGUGCUUAGACCUGGAUUGGUCCCAGUCUUCUGAGAUUCCAAGAGGUGGGAUCCAGCCUCCAAGGGGUCUCCUGGGCUGGUGGAAUACUGUUCCCCACAGUUCAUGUCCUUCUGGGAACCUCAGACUGUGAUCUUUGUCAACUGAAAAAAAAAAAAAGUACAACCUUGGGGCUUCCCUGGUGGCGCAGCGGUUGAGAGUCCGCCUGCCGAUGCAGGGGACGCGGGUUCGUGCCCCGGUCCGGGAAGAUCCCACGUGCCGCGGAGCGGCUGGGCCCGUGAACCAUGGCCACUGAGCCUGCGCGUCCGGAGCCUGUGCCCCGCAACGGGAGAGGCCAAAACAGUGAGAGGCCCGCCU